GACGAACGCUGGCGGCGUGCUUAACACAUGCAGGUCGAACGAGAGACGGUGAAAAGCUUGCUUUUAAUCGAAUCGAGUGGCAAACGGGUGAGUAACGCGUAAACAACCUGCCCCUGGGAUGGGGACAACAGCUGGAAACGGCUGCUAAUACCGAAUGAGCUCCACAUGCCGCAUGGCAGGUGGAGGAAAGGGUGGCCUCUGGAACAAGCUACCGCCGAGGGAGGGGUUUGCGUCUGAUUAGCUGGUUGGUGAGGUAAGGGCUCACCAAGGCGACGAUCAGUAGCCGGUCUGAGAGGAUGAACGGCCACAUUGGAACUGAGAGACGGUCCAGACUCCUACGGGAGGCAGCAGUGGGGAAUCUUCCGCAAUGGGGCGAAAGCCCUGACGGAGCAAACGCCGCGUGAGUGAAAGACGGGCCCUUUCGGGUUGUAAAAGCUCUGUUACCACGGG
rnacentral:rRNA from 1 species